CAGCUUUCCCAGUGACACCGAGUACACUGGCUGUACUCAGAGAGGAAAGGGGAUGCUGGAGUUGGCAGUGCGACUAGCACUGUGUAGUCACCUGGGCUGAGAUCCACACAACAUCUGUGAACAAGUGGCAGAGUUAGCAAGCAGAUACAGCCGGAGGAUGGCAAAAUCCCAAAGGACUAACUACUGAUUCCUGCAUAAACUUGGUUUGUGAUAAUGUGCAAAGCACAACAUCAGAGGAAAGAAGGGGGAUCCCGGCUUUGAUAUGCUUAUGGAAGAGUUUUCAGGCACUGUUCAAGGGGACACAUGGUGGAAUAAGGCAGCUAAUGCUCUUCUAUAGAAGAAAGCAGGCUGUGGCUCUCAUCCACCUCAAACCACUGCAAUACCCAAGAGAAAGCAAUGCUCAGCACAUGCUUGAUGAAUAAAUCAAUAAAUAGACCCACAACAUGGCAAAAAUUGAAGUAAUAUUUAUCUUCCCAGGCAG